CCUUAAAUACGCUACGGCAGCACAUAUACUAAAACAUACAGAAAAGAUUAGCAUGGCCCCUGCGAAAGGAUGACACGGAAAUCCGUGAAGCGCUCCAUAUUUAG
ensembl:snRNA U6 U6 spliceosomal RNA